rnacentral:snRNA from 1 species
ACCAAUUUACCCCUGAAAAUU